rnacentral:misc_RNA from 1 species
GGUUCAUGGCGCUCAUUGAUAGAGCGUUGACGCUAUGGUCGUACGACCAGUCUUUAGUGUUCGCGCUCGACGUCGCGAAGGCGCUUUCGCAACCGGUGGAAUACCUCAUGGCGCUCUGGCCGUGCGCAGAGCAACGCCGUCGAUGGGACAGCCUCCAAGGGAAGCUGAACAACUCUGUUUGCGCGGCUGCUGUUCCUAUUCCUCCCCCCACCGUCGCCAUUCCCCAACCGCCACCCGUGUCCGUGUAGGGCGGGUUCCUCCUACAUUUUCGCCCAUAAAAAGUUCAUGACG